GAAACAGCAUAGUGUGUGGGUUUAGCAGACACAGUGAUUCUGACGAGCAGUUUGGCCCACUACAAGAGCCCCCGAGGCCAACAGUUUUCAACCCAAUCAUGCCUGAGUCUCCCGAGGAAAGAGGAAAUCCAGCCCUAAAGCCCAAACCCCCAAAAUUCGGAGCCAGCUGCUCAGGAUGGACCCUCACACACCUGUGUUGUCAAACCUCCCCAGGUGAUUCUAAUCAUUUGCAGUCCUCUUGAGACUUUGCUAGAGGCUUUCCUGUGUCCAGCUGCAAAACCGGAGCUCAGCAGCUUUCCAGAGCAUUGCUUUCCCUCCUGCAGAGUGAAGAGUCCUGCCAUCCAGGCCAGCCCAGCGCUAUCUACGCCAACAGGAACAGCUCUCUUCCCCACUCCACGGAGGACAAGUGACCACCUCUCUUUGAUCCCAUUUUUCCUGUCACUCGCUUACGUGAGCACUGGGUAGUCUUCAGUAGACAGCAGACUUCUCGAGGAAGGAACUACAGCUUGUUUAACUUUGUACCUCCCGUAAUACUUCAUGCAUAGUAAGCCUUCAACAUGUUGGAUUGAUGUUCCGUUGUUUUGUGGGCCCCACGUGGUCUAGAACAACACUGAGAGCGUAGUAAACACUUAAUAAACAUUUCCUGACCGA